rnacentral:lncRNA from 1 species
GAGACUUUGCCAGAUAAUUUAUGAAGGGUUAGAUUCAAAUUCUAAAAUCAUACUAGAGUCCAUGUGCCAGGGUCAAUUCAUGUACAAGGAACCCAGGGUCAAAUUCUAAAAUCAUACUAGAGUCCAUAUUUUAUCUAAUUGAAGACAUUAAACUUAGUGCUUCUGAGAGGCAACUCAACUUUUUUUAAAAACUAAUAUUUUUUCUAUUGAAUAAAUAGAGAUACCAGUCUUUGGGCUUCGGACUUGAGACCAACAUCGCACCAAGAUCACCUCCAACAAAGAACACAUAUUCA